CUUAUAGCUGAAGGUAGUUGUGGUUCACCGCGCAGCAUCAAGGUGUUCCUUGGGGAGUGUAAUGUGGAUGAUUCGUAUGCUUGAGUUCAAACAAAUGAAAAUCAUCAUGACGCAUGUGUUUGUCAUGAAAAAAUCCAAUAAGCUGAUUUUGACCUUGUAUUACAGGGUCUGGGAUUUUCAUUUUCCCCCCUUUGGAUACAUAUAGGGAAUAAAUUUCCACUGUGCUUGCUUGUCAUUCAGAGUGGUCUUCAAUUAGACUAUCUGU
rnacentral:misc_RNA from 1 species